GUCAUGUGACUGAAGGUCGUCUGACUGUAGGUCAUGAACUGUAGGUCAUGUGACCGAAGGUCAUGUGACUGAAGGUCAUGUGACUGAAGGUCGUCUGACUGUAGGUCAUGUGACUGUAGGUCAUGUGACUGAAGGUCAUGUGAAUGAAGGUCAUGUGAGGACCAGAGGAGGGGCUGUAAACCAGCUGUAUGUGUCGCCCCCUGCAGGCCGGAGCUCAUCCUGACUGUGCUGGACGGCCUGGAUGUUCAGGUCCCACAUAACAUUUCUGACUUUCUCAUGCAGCAGCGAGGUGCGCGCUUCCUGGAGUGUCGUUACCGUGACGCUCGCAGCUUCCUGCAGCUCUACCCUGAAGACACUUCAGCUGCAGCUGUGGAUUUUCACAGGAAGGCCAAGUCGUUGCUUCAGUUAGCUUCUCGGACACUGGCUGCGCUCCACAUCCCGUUCUGGAUCAGCAGCGGCACCUGCCUAGGUAACGUUAGUGCUAACAUGCUAACAUG